AAAUGUCAGAGACCAUGUGUGGGGAAAAACUUAUGACCAGGAACAAGAUAAUUGUCAGAGACCAUGUGUGGGGAAAAACUUAUGACCAGGAACAAGAUAAGGGUUUCUGAGAACCUGAACAAACAAGUUACCACCUGGAAACUGGCCUCGUUAGACCAAGGGCCGCAAACCAUAAAAAUUCUUCACAUUCCCUCCUGUUACAACCCAUCCUUAAUCACCCCCCCCCCACCUCAAGUGUAUAUAUUCUUGCCCUGCGCCUGCAAUAAACGAGCCUUGGCACUAUUAGACAGACUCUGUCUUUCUUGCAUGCUUGGUCUCCCCUCUCUCCCCCUAUGGUCUUUUAGGUGGCUGCUUCACGGACCCCACAGUUGUAGUAAGAUGGCUUACCGGACGUCUGAGGAACAAAUUCCGCGGACAAAGGAAGGGUAGAGGCUGGACAGACAGCCUUGAGGCAGGGAAAGUACAGAAUGAUCCUGAUUUGCUUGAUCCUGUUCCUGAGCAUUUGCCCCUCGUCAACGAGCCCUGAGAGCCCUCAUCUUCUCGUACACCAAACAUGGGAACUCAUUAACCCUAUUAAUCAAUUCACCAUCAUUCUAGGUAUUGGGGGUCUUGCUGCCGGCAUUGGUACUGGCACCACCGCUCUCCUACAGACCCAACACCUUGCAGCUCUACAUUCUGCUAUGACAUCUGACCUUGAAGCCCUAGAAAAAUCUGUUUCUGCUUUAGAGAAAUCCCUAUCCUCCCUCUCAGAAGUUGUACUACAGAACAGACGUGGCCUCGACCUGCUUUUUUUUAAAAGAAGGGGGAUUGUGCGCAGCCCUUAAAGAAGAAUGCUGCUUUUAUGCUGACCACACGGGCGUGGUCAGAGAGUCAAUGGCAAAAUUGAGAGAACGCCUAGCCCUUAGAAAAAGGGAGGCUGAGGCCCACGAAGGAUGGUACAAUAACCUUUUGAGAAGUUCCCCUUGACUUUCUACCCUAAUUCCUACGAUACUAGUUCCCUUUAUUAUCUUUCUCCUAAUUCUUACUUUUGGCCCUUGGGCUCUCCAACGCCUGACUGGAUUUAUCAAAUCAAACAUUGACUCAGCCCUUACUAAGUUCCCUAUGGUCCAAUACCAUCGUAUUGAAAUAGCAGAUGCUGACCAACCACAUACCUCGGUUGACUCGGACCGCCUUCAAUUCACUAGCAGGGUGGUAACCCAAUGACGGGAAUAGCACAGGUCCUCGACCCCUGAUGAUCGAGUAACUCCCCCUGUGUAGCCUAAGACAGGGGCCGUCGCUGCGGUCCUGACUUAAUAACCUUCCCUCUAAUAAAAAAGAAAGGGGGAAUUGUCAGAGACUAUGUGUGGGGAAAAACUUAUGACCAGGAACAAGAUAAUUGUCAGAGACCAUGUGUGGGGAAAAACUUAUGACCAGGAACAAGAUAAGGGUUUCUGAGAAUCUGAACAAACACCUUGAAAAUCUUAAAGCACAGUGAAUUAAAUACAAGGUUUGGAACAGGGAAAACCUGAGUUUCACUAUAGCUUCAGACUUUUCCUAGAAGUGUGACCUUGGGCAAGUCACUUGACACCAAUUGCCUAGCCCUUGCCACUCUUUUGUCUUAGAACUGAUACUAAGACAGAAGGUAAAGGUUUUAAUAAAACAAAAGAUAAUCUUAAAACUCUCCCUCUCCCUCCCCUCUCUCUCUCUCUCUCUCUCUCUCUCUCUCUCUCUCUCUCUCUCUCUCUCUCUCUCUCUCUCUCUCUCUCUCUCCCUCUCUCUCCCUCUCUCUCUCUCUCUCUCUCUCUCUCUCUCUCUCUCUCUCUCUCUCUCUCUCUCUCUCUCCUCUAUAUAUUUAUAAGAAUCAUAUAUGAAUACAUAUGUGUAUAGGAUGAGAAGUAAGCAUAGUCCAUAUGCCUGUAUGAUAUCUAUGUAUAUGUUUGUGUGUAUAGAAUAUAAACUAUACAUGGAAAUAAAAGUUCUUAUAAAUAUGGAAAAAAAAAAGAAUCUGAACAAACAAGUUACCACCUGGAAACUGGCGUCGUUAGACCAACGGCCACAAACCAUAAAAAUUCUUCACAUUCCCUCCUGUUACAACCCGUCCUUAAUCACCCCCCCCCCACACACACCUCAAGUGUAUAUAUUCUUGCCCUGUGCCUGCAAUAAACGAGCCUUGGCACUCUUA